rnacentral:lncRNA from 1 species
AUGACUGGUGUAUGGAAAGAAAAAGAAUUCCUUUUGUUUUCUUACUUUUAUGGUUCUUCUCAAGAUAUACAGAAAAAGGAGAAUACAAAGCAGGUCCUUCUUGAUCAUCUUUGUAACCAGGUAAGUCUUCUUUCUUCAAGCUAAAUCCCACCUCUUUUAAUGUUUAUUUUCUCUUGUUCCUCACUCUAUGGAAAUAGGGAAGAGUGUGUGUGUGUGUGUGUGUGUGUGUGUGUCUACGGUGGUGGUGGUAAUGGUUUUAUUCUAAUUUAACCCUCACCACUCAGGUAUUUGAAGAGAAUUAAUACAAUCCUUCAUCUCUUCUUUUCUAGAUGAAUUAAUCCAAGUUCUUACGAUUUCCACACCCCACCCACCACCAAGGGUCUUCGUUGGUAUGUUAGGAAAUAACUUUAGGGGCCGGCCCAGUGGCAUAGUGGUUAAGUUCAUGUGCUCUGCUUUGGUGGCCCUGGGUUUGCAGGUUUGAAUCCUGGGCACAGACCUACAAAACACUCAUCAAGCCAUGCUGUGGCGGCAUCCCAUAUACAAAGUAGAGGAAGAUUGGCAACAGAUGUUAGCUCAGGGACCAUCUUCCUCAAACAAA